rnacentral:rRNA from 1 species
UACGAAGGGGGCUAGCGUUGCUCGGAAUCACUGGGCGUAAAGCGCACGUAGGCGGAUCUUUAAGUCAGGGGUGAAAUCCUGGAGCUCAACUCCAGAACUGCCUUUGAUACUGGGGAUCUCGAGUCCGGAAGAGGUGAGUGGAACUCCGAGUGUAGAGGUGAAAUUCGUAGAUAUUCGGAAGAACACCGGAGGCGAAGGCGGCUUGCUGGGCUCGGUCUGACGCUGAGGCGCGAAAGCGUGGGGAGCGAACAGG